rnacentral:rRNA from 1 species
AGCGAACGCUGGCGGCAGGCUUAACACAUGCAAGUCGAACGGGCUUCUUCGGAAGUCAGUGGCAGACGGGUGAGUAACACGUGGGAACGUGCCCUUCUGUUCGGAAUAACUCAGGGAAACUUGAGCUAAUACCGGAUACGCCCUUUUGGGGAAAGGUUGACUGCCGAAGGAUCGGCCCGCGUCUGAUUAGCUUGUUGGUUGGGUAACGGCCUACCAAGGCGACGAUCAGUAGCUGGUCUGAGAGGAUGAUCAGCCACACUGGGACUGAGACACGGCCCAGACUCCUACGGGAGGCAGCAGUGGGGAAUAUUGGACAAUGGGCGCAAGCGUGAUACAGCCAUGCCGCGUGAGUGAUGAAGGCCUUAGGGUUGUAAAGCUCUUUUGUCCGGGACGAUAAUGACGGUACCGGAAGAAUAAGCCCCGGCUAACUUCGUG